AUUGAACGCUGGCGGCAGGCCUAACACAUGCAAGUCGAACGAGUGGCGGACGGGUGAGUAAUGUCUGGGAAACUGCCCGAUGGAGGGGGAUAACUACUGGAAACGGUAGCUAAUCCCGCAGACAAUCGGAUGUGCCCAGAUGGGCGUCGCUUGUAGGUGAGGUAACGGCUCACCUAGGCGCCGAUCCCUAGCUGGUCUGAGAGGAUGAACAGCCACACGGGAAAUGAUACACGGUCCAGAAUACUACGGGAGGCAGAAGUGGGGAAUAUGGCACAAUGGGCGCAAGCCUGAUGCAUCCAUGCCGCGUGUAUGAAGAAGGCCUUCGGGUUGUAAAGUACUUGCAGCGGGGAGGCGUUACCCGCAGAAGAAGCACCGGCUAACUCCGUGCCAGCAGCCGCGGUAAUAC
rnacentral:rRNA from 1 species